UGCUUCAGCUUCAAACUCCUUUCUGUGGGCACGUUUCCAGUCCCUCUUCCAUCUUCAGCCACCUCUUCGUCCCUGCUUCUCAUCUUCCUCAAUACGCCACGUUUUGUUCUUGAGUGGCAAGAUCCUCAUCUCCUUCGCUGACACGGUGCUUCUCAAAGAAGCCAAGGAGGAAUUAUAAAUACAGCGAAGAUGAAUGUAUAGAGAGAGAGGGAAGGAAACCGCGGGAAUCCGAGGAGCAAGUCGAAGGGAAAGAAGAAGAGGAAGGAGGGAGGAUUUGCCACAUGCAAUCUGAUCUUUGAACCAAGGUUUUAAUUGGUGGCUUGGUUUACUAAGAAGAAACUCAAACCAAGAUACCCGGAAAGAAAGGGCCCAAUUCAUCCAAGAGGAAAGAGGAGUUGGUGGAAGGAUAGCUAAGG